GUAGUGGCCCAUGCCAGCAGUCCUAGCUACUCAGGAAACUGAGGUGGGAGGAGGCUGUAGUGUGCUACACCAAUCAAUCAGGUGUCUCUAUUAAGUCAACAUCAAGAUAGUGACCUCCCCAAAGUGGGGGGUUACCAGGUAGACAAAGGAAUUAACUGGCCAAGGUUGGAAAUGGAGCAAGUCGAAACUCCAAUGCCGAUCAGUAGUGGGAUAGUACCUGUGAAUAGCCAUUGUACUCCAGCCUGGGCAACAUAAU
rnacentral:sRNA from 1 species